rnacentral:lncRNA from 1 species
GCUGUGUUCACAAGAGCUCGUUUCAAGCUACUUAGCCGUUCUAACUUUCAUAAUUAAGUUUUGUGGCUAUUAGUGUUGAUUUUUACAGGAUCACCUAUUCACCCCCUCUAGGUGCUCUCAAUACUCUCCCUGUCAGUAGACCCGUAUGGUCAUACGACCAUUGAGUGCGUCACUGUCGCUCGUGGCCCACAAGUCAGACCCUCCUUCUAGCAGAGCGGUUACAACCAAUUCCCCGAGCGCGGCGCGUUGGUGCUCCAUCUGGAGAUUCUGGCUCCGUGUUGCCCACCUCGUGCGGAGUCAGGCUCUGUGGACUAUACAAGCCCAUCACCUGCACACUUCUUUCUUCCCCAACCAUAGGCCUAAACAAAAACAGCUCUGCCGAGAACUGUCCGUCAGCAGGAGGGAGAGAACCAACCCGCGGUGGCGGAAUCUCGUGUUAGCGGGCCGAUAAUCCGUCGGAAGCGCGAGUGUCCCGAUUGUGUGUGAGUCUUCAGUGGGGAAAAUUUUGAUUCGUGCGCGGGCGUCAAUUGCUCACCGUACACCAACUCGUGCUGCGACUGCUGGAAUUGGAAUCACUACGCCAAUCGGUCAGAAACCUCUAUUUCCUUGACUAACCACUUUCCCUUUGUGCACCGUCUCAUGGCGUACGAGUUUCGGGGAAAUCCGGGUUCUGACAAUCGUUCCUCGGCUUGGGGGCCGUCAAGAAAUCAACUGGCACCGUGGCCAGACCGGCGUGUUGUUCCUUUUAGUGAUUAGAGGCCACCACCGAGUUCGGUGUGAACUUCGCGUUGCGUGGCCAUAGAUGACGGUAGAAUUAGGGCAUAGAACCGCGCUGCGACGCUACGCUGGUGAGAGCGUCGCCACAUUUCAUGUGCGCGCUGUCCGAGGCGACGGCGUGGGGAACGGGAUAAGCUCCGUGGCGUUGAUCUUUGCAGCAACGACCCAGAUCGACCGGGUGAAUAGCUACCUCAGAGUUUUUAUUUGGACCGUCGGAUUUAGGCGGUGCAGUCAUGAUUGGACCACGACGUGGAUGCCGCUUGAAUCGUAGAUCUCAAAUACAUGGACCACCAUCGUGUGCGAUCCAGAACUAAUUUGAUCCAUUGGAUUAGGAUCAGGCGACCCUGAGUGGUCGAUACCCCUUCGGCGCAGGCGUUUUACAAAAGAGACCUUGAAAUUUUAGGAAAACAACCUGCGAUCCUUUGUAACGUUAGAAUAAUUACCGAGGGGUCCUAAACUUUAUGGUUUCGCCCAUGUGCUUCUCAAAAAUGGUGUGCGCAGUCCAGGAAGCAAUUAAAUUAAAUAGAUUAAGAAAGAAAACAAUUUCUUGUACCAAAAUAAUUCUAGAACUUAAUUAAUUCAUAGAAAAUUUAUUUUUAUUCCUUUUUAACCCAUUCCAGUUGCAAUAAUUUUGUAUUAAUAUUGUGUAUCACCUGGUAACUCUGUUUAGUCUUGAGACCCAGGUUAAAUUUAUUCAUUUGGUUUAAUUUUGUCGGCGUUUCGACCCCGGGGUCCUUCGACCGACGAGUAAAUUGUCGCUGCGUGUCCCAGCCUAGAUGGGUCGGCGCGAGACGGAACACAAGGGGGAAAACAGUAAGGGGAAACCGCGACCUCGUGUUGUCCUGCGCCCAGGGCGGAUGCGCUUGCAGUAGGGGGUUACAAGCGUUCGCGAGGGAGAGAGAGAGAGAGAGCGAGAGCCUUGUGCGUCGACCCGUCCUCCCGCGCGGCCACCUUCUCGUAUGAGGGCCCUGGACCUUCCUUUUAUAGAUGUAAGGAGAGGGUCCAGGUGUACAACGGGGAGCGUAGCAAUGUGCUAACGUGUCUAGCGGGGAGGAGCCAGAGCCCUGUAUACAUGCCGUCGUGGCUAUUGGAGAGGUGUUGCUGCCCUGUUCAUGUGAUGUCGUGGCCGUCGGAGGAGUGCUUGAGCUCUGUGGAAGCACAGCUAUCGGGGCUGUCGGAUCCUUGUUGACGUCUCCUUGCUUCCGUAAGGGGCUGAGAACCGCCGUCGUCAUGGAGCACGCAGGGUGCCAUCAUUACUUGUUUUACCGGGGCGAGCCAGAUGGGACGCCGGUCUUGUUCCCCGUAGCCUGAGCUAGCUAGGGGUAGGGUAAUGAUGACCCCUCCUGUGACGUGGUCGGUCCGAGCCCAAGGUCAGGCGAGGCGGUGACUCCUCCGAGGUCGAGGCUGAGUCUGAGCCCUGGGGUCGGGCGAGGCGGAGACCGUCUUCCGAAGUCGAUGUUGAGUCCGAGCCCUGGGGUCGGGCGAGGCGGAGACCGUCUUCAGGAGUCGAGGUUGAGUCCGAGCCCUGGGGUUGGGCGAGGCGGAGACCGUCUUCCGGAGUCGAGGUUGAGUCCGAGCCCUGGGGUCGGGCGAGGCGGAGACCGUCUUCCGGAGUCGAGGUUGAGUCCGAGCCCUGGGGUCGGGCGAGGCGGAGACCGUCUUCCGGAGUCGAGGUUGAGUCCGAGCCCUGGGGUCGGGCGAGGCGGAGCUUCCUAUGGCGCCCGAGGCUAGACUUGGCUGCUGUCAGCCUCACCCUGACGGGUGGCACAGCAAUCGGAGUAGGGCAGGCGACGCUGUUUUCCUGUCAGGUCGGUCAGUGGAGCGGCGAAGUGACUGCGGUCACUUCGGCCCUACCGACUAAGGACCGCGUGUCAGGAUAAGGUGUCAGACAAUCCUUGCAUUGAAUGCUCCCGCGAUACGGUCGGUUGGCGUGGCGAUCUGGCCAAGGCUGCUUCUCCGCGAAGCCUGCCCGAGCUGGGCCUCGGGCGAGUCGAAGGUGCGCCCGUUGCUUGAGGAGACCCUCGGGCGAGACGUGAAUCCUCCUGGGUCGGCUAUCUUUGCCUGAGGCUGGGCUCGGGCGAGGCGAGAUCGUGUCCCUUGAGUGGACGGAGCCUUGACCUGAAUUGCGCCCAUCAGGCCUUUGCAGCUUUGUGCUGAUGGGGGUUACCAGCUGAGAUUAGGAGUCUUGGGGGUACCCUUAAUUAUGGUCCCCGACAGUAGCCCCCGAGCCUCGAAGGGAGUGUCGAUACUCGCUUGGAGGCUUUUGUCGCACUUUUUUGCAAGGGGACCGACCUCUCUCGGUUGCAGUUCGUUCUGGUGGGUGCGCGCGAGCGCACCCGCCGGGUGUAGCCCCCGAGGCCUCGGAGGAGUGGUUUGACUCCUUCGAGAUCUUAAUGCCUUUCGUGAUGCCUUGGCCGGUCUGGUUGUUCCCUCAUGCGAACUGGUCGUUGCCCGGGUGCAUAGUCAGGUUCCGAGUUCUCGGGCUGGUAUGUUGACGCUGUCAACGUUUUGGCCGGAGCCGGGUUUGCGAGAGCAGCCCCCGAGCCUCCGCACAGAGCGAGAGGACGGUCAAGGACUGACUCGGCUUUUUGCAUACGCCCCUUCGUCGCCUUUCCGCAAUGAGGAGGGGGGAAAGCGCCAUGCUGCCCUCGGAGGGCACCGAACAUGGUGUCUCCAGUGAGUUGCUAACGGGUGAUCCGAGUGGACGCCCGUGCCCCGUUCGAUAAGGGUCGGCUAGUGGCCCAGAGGCGCGCUCCAAAAGUACCUGCAGGUGAUUUGCCGGACCCGGUCCCGUUUGAUAGGGUCCGAGGGCUCGAUGCCUCCCUCUGAUGGGAUUCCAUUACAGAAUCGCUCCUGCUGGUCUCGGAAAUGUCCUAGGGUACCUCGGGAGCGUAGCCCGAGCCUCGGCCAUGUAUCGGACGUACUCAGAGUCAUCCCUCGCUCUGCGUGCUCUGAGGCGGCUGUCAAACCCUUCGGGGGCCAGCAUACGAACCUCUGAUCAGUAGUGGGCACGGAGCCCGAGUGGUCUGAGGUGGCUGUCGAACCCUUCCAAGGGGCCAGCCUUCGAACCUCUGACCAGUAGUGGGCGCGGAGCCCGAGUGCUCUGAGGCGGCUGUCAAACCCUUCCGAGGGGCCAGCCUUCGAACCUCUGAUCAGUAGGGGGGGCCCGGGGCCCGCUUCCUUCGCGGAGAAGGAUCCCUUUCGGAGUAUCCCCUUUCCCGGUCCCUGUAGCAAGAGAGAGAAAGGGGAAGAGAAAAAGGGAUAUGAAAUUGAACGACGUGGCAUACCUUUUUUUUUGACGCGGUCAUCAUGGCGGAGGUGAAGCGUCGCCUGCUUCGCCUGCCAAAGGUACCGCCUGCCCUGCCGCAGAGUUAAUGCGAUGGGACGAGUGUUUCGCGGGGCAGCUGUUGUGCGAGCCAUUCGAGGAACGGUCGUUUCGCCAUCGAGUUUUGGAUUUCGCGGUGGGUUCGGGCGGAGUGUUGAACGGGUCUCGCCCGGGCCUUUAUAUAUUCGGAAGAGGGACCGGUGGUGGUUCUUUACUCUGCUGCUCGCCUCCCGCUUAGGUUUCCGCAACCUGAGGGAAUAGCUAGAGAAAGAAAACCGCGCACCUUGUCCGCUCCGCCGCCACCUCCUUCGCUUGGUGAUGGCCGACCGGGUAACCGUCGUUCCGCCGCGCGACCUGUGACCUUUCUCCACUGUCACGGCGGACGAUCUGGAGGCCCUUGUUGCCGAUGGUUUGCUUCGUCCCCUCUCCAGUGACCCGCAGCCUGAGUGGAUGGCCCCUCCGAGCGGAGCCGCCCCGUCCCCGCCGUCGGGGUAUGUGCUGAGUUUCGCCUCUUUCCAUGAGCGAGGGUUCGGAGUGCCAGCAAGUCGCUUCAUGCGGGCGAUUCUGCAUUUCUACAGGGUGGAGCUGCACAAUCUCAGCCCCAACUCCAUCGUGCAAGCAGCCAUCUUCGCGGCGGUUUGCGAAGGGUUUUUGGGGAUUGACCCCCACUGGGAUCUGUGGACCCAUCUCUUCUCCAUGGAGCCUUUUGCCUUGACGACGGGGGAAAGGAGAGUUCACAUGGUGGUGCGGGCCGGCGGCUGCAUCCUCCAGUUGAGGCAGGCGCAUGCGCAACAGUACAUCCCUGCCAUCCUUGUGUCUUUGAACAAGGGGUGGCAGCGUCGGUGGUUUUACCUUCGGAACGACGAUGGGAGGCUCCCGUCGUUUUCUCAACGAGUGGUGACCGCCGCCGGCAGCAACUGGCGCUAUGGGGCCCCGCGCGAUAGACAGAAGAAUCUCCAGCCUCUUCUGGAGGCCUUGCAGGAGUUGCGAGACGGAGGGCUUACCGCCACGGGGGUGGUCGCCGCCAUCCAUCGCCGGAGGGUGCUCCCCUUGACGGAGCGGCGGCUGCUCCUUUCGGAGAUGACGCCGAGGGUCGGCUUGGAGGGUUCGCAUAUGUCCUCGGUCCCCCUCCCCGCUGAUGACCUCCACAGGCGGGUAGCCGGCACGGUAGGAAAGCUGGACGCCGGUGCUCUUACCCAGCCCUCGAUGCAUCCCGAGCGCGGGUGCAUAUCCCUAGUGAGUGUCCGCUCCUUCUUCCUUCUUGUGUCAGAUUGCCCUUGGUUCUCACAGCCGAGAUUUCUGUCCGUCUCCAAGAGUUGGGGUUUCACAAACCUUUUCUGCCACCGGUCCCGGAGGACGCGGUGGACCGAGCCGCGCGGAGGGUUGCUACGGAGAAGAAGAAGUAUAAGAAGGACGCAAAAAAGGCUCGGGCCCGCGAGCGGAUGCAGGCUCGGGACGCCUUGGAGAGGCGUCGUCGGAAGCAGGAGAGGGACGGGCUCCCAAGGGAGCCGUCGCUGGAGACGCCUGACGACGACGACGAUGACGACGAGGACGACGACAUGGUGGCCCGCCUCGGCCUCAGCCCAGAUCUGCGGCUGGGCCCGGGUUCGUCGAGCCAGCCCCCAAGUGGGCUGGCGCCGUCAGUAUCCAGGGUCGGGGCAUCAGGGUCCCGAUCCGAAGAACAGGGGCAGGCCGAGGGGGUACUUGACCCCUUGGCCGAGGUGGUUGAGGUGACCCCGGGGAGUCAGGCCGACCCGCCUGUCCCUGAAGAGCCAUUGCCCGUGCCGACAGCACAGGAGGCUGAUCCUCAGGUCGCCGUGUCUGCGCCUGGGCGGACGGUCCCUUCGACGCCCCGGGCGCCCGAGGCAGGGAUGGUGCCGAAGCCGGCAGCGGGGCAAACCUUGGUGGUGCCCGUGGGGACCGAGGCUCGAGGGGCCUCCCCACAGGCACGAUUGGUCGUGGCCCGGAGUGGGUGAGUAUAUGAGGAUACAUCUGUCCUGGUUCGUUCUUCGUAUGUCUUGAUCCUGCCUUUCCUUUUCCUCCCAGAAAACGGAGGUACGGCUCGACCGGCCUGGCUCCCCGGAAGGUCCUCAAGACGGCGUCGGCUUCCGCAGCCAGUGCCGCACCGGGCCUCGCCGGCCGGCUGACCUCCUCACAAGAUGCCCCAAAGCGGGGGGCUCAGGCGGCGCGAGUUGCCGUGGGGUGGGCUCCUCAGGCUGACCCCUCUGCUGAGGCGGCCGUCGUGCCGGGGGAGAUUACUGGCGCGGCCGCGACCUUCACACCACCUGACGUGUUGCCGACGCCAGCACCAGCCUUGGCAGAGGCUGUUGCCGUUCUGCCCGUGGGGCCAUCCGUCGCCGCCAAUGCUGAGAUGGCUGUGGCGCUGCUACCCGAGGCCGGUGAUCGGAGGCCUGCCCCCUUAGUCGAGGAGGUACUUGAUGUGCCGACCGCAGGGGGUGCCGACGCCUUGGAGAAGGGGGGCGUAGAACCGCGGCCCGUCCUGGGGAGCAGCGACCUCAUCCUCGCGCGGCGAGGUCCCAAUGAACGGCGUGGGGAGAGGCUCCGGUUUUGGACCCGUGGUGCCUCGAAACCCCUCUUUGUUCUUGACGAUGAGCGAGAGGAGCAGGCUUGGGACGAGCUUCGUGAGUGUGCCGAGGCAAUGGUGGGGUCGCUUCGGUCGACCUUGGAGGUCCUUUCUAGGGACGUUCCCAGGAUCCUCCAGGUAAGGAUUCCAGGCAUACCUUUCAUGUGAUCAAGGCAUUCUUUGUGAUGCCCUGCUUCCCUUCCUCAGGAUCUGACGGAUCUGAGCACCGCCAAGUCGUCGUUUAUCCGCCGCGAGGCCGACGUCUGGGGUUCGCUGCGGUUCUUGAGGACCACGCUUGCCGAGGCCACCGAGCGCCUCUCCCAACGGAGUGCCAAGGCGGUGGACCUUCGGUUGCUCUGUGACGAGCUGGGGGCAGAGGCAGCGGCGGUGCGCGCAGAGGCGCAGCGGCGACAGUUGGAGCUUGGCCAGGUCAUCGGUGAGCGGGACCAAUCUCGGGGCCGGGCCGCCAAGGCUGAAAGUCGGGCUGAGGCCCUUAGAGGCCAGCUAGCGAGGCGUCUGCUCGGGCCGGAGCCCUUGCGGCGGACCUGGCCGUGGCCGUCGGGUCUGCUCAGUCCGCCCAAGCCGCAGCCUCGGAGCAGCGUGCCCGGGCCGAAGGUAUGUCUUGGCUGUUUUGAGAUUUUGAUUCAGCUUCAUUCUUCAGCUCAUGUUUGAAGACUUCUGUUUUGGCUGUUUGCAGAGCUCGAGUCUGCCCUCAACGAGUCCGCCAAGGCACUUGCCCAGGCGGCUGAGCAGAAGGAGGCCGACCGCGUGGCCAUGUCCGAGGCUGUCUCGGCCUUCUGCCAGAUCUUUGGUCUUGACGACGUCCCCUCGGGGAGCUCCCCCCAGAGUCGCCUGCAGGCCUUGGGUGACCACGCGCGCGGCAGACUCCGCGAGGCGCUGCGUCACGGCGUUAGGCGGGCCUUCGCCGUGCUCGCUUCCCACUACGAUAUGGAUCUGGAGCGGGUCAGCGAGGCCGACGAAGAUGAAGCUGCCCUGGCCGAAGUUCAGAGGCUUGAUGCGGCCGCUGCGGGCCCAAGCGUGGUGUUGGCGUCCACUUUCAAGGCGGAGAUCCUUCUGCUUGCGCCGCCGUCCGAGGGCGAGGCGGAUCUCGCCGAGGGUGGAAACGAAGCCGAGGGUGCAACUCCUCCCCUAGGCGAUGCCUGAUUCUGCCGGAGCAGUUUAUUUUGAAUAUGUAUGUGUCUUUCGCGGCCGUCGAGGCCUGAACACUUUGUCGUCGGGAUAUAAAGUUGUGUCUCUUUUCCUCCUGUUUCGCGUAUCCGGACUUGUUCGUCAGUAGCAGGAUCGCUUACCCAAGUAAGAGUUAUUUUUCGUGGUAGGUGACGAGUGAGGUAUCUGUAUCAUGGAGGUGUAGGAGUCCCUCGGCUCGGUCGGCCUUGCCACUUACAUGCACUCUUAUUCGUUUCUCGGGGUUCUGUUACUGAUAUAGCCGGGAAACACGAAAGUCGCUUUGGUGGAAGACUUUUUUCGAGGAAAAUUUUGACGCAGAGGGGGUUCCCCCCUUCUAGCCCCCAAGGGAGGGUCGGGCUUUGCCGAGGCAAGGCUGACCAUUCCUUGAUGAUUAGACUUUAUUUGCGUAUGUAAAUGAGGUAUCUGAACGACUCGAAAACAUCUUAAGGGUAGAAGCGACGUAGCUGUCGGAUGUUCCAAGCGUUGCUGUAGACCUCGCCUUGACUGUUGGCCAGCUUGUAUGUUACGGGCUUCAAAAUCUUAGCGAUGAUGAACGACCCUUCCUAGGGAGGUGUGAGCUUGUGGCGCCCUCGGGCGUCUUGUCAUAGCCGAAGCACCAAGUCCCCCACCUGGAGGUCUCGGGACCGGACCCCUCGGGCGUGGUAGCGUCGCAGGGACUGCUGAUACCUUGCCGAGUGUAGUAAGGCCAUGUCCCGAGCCUCUUCCAGCUGGUCCAGUGAGUCUUCUUGGUUGGUCCGGUUGCUUCGGUCGUUGUACGCCCUCGUCCUCGGGGAUCCGUAUUCUAAGUCUGUGGGCAAGACAGCCUCGACCCCAUAGACUAGAAAGAACAGCGUGAAGCCCGUGGCUCGGCUUGGCGUCGUUCUCAGACUCCAGACCACCGAGGGGAGUUCCUUCAUCCAUCGCCUGCCAAAUUUGUUGAGGUCGUUGUAGAUUCUUGGCUUGAGUCCUUGCAGAAUCAUGUUGUUGGCACGCUCUACCUGCCCAUUCGUCAUGGGGUGAGCUACGACGGCCCAGUCCACCCGGAUGUGGUGGUCCUCGCAGAAGUCCAGGAACUUUCUGCCAGUGAACUGGGUGCCGUUGUCGGUGAUGAUGGAGAUCGGGACCCCAAAGCGAUGGAUGAUGUUGGUGAAGAAUGCCACCGCAUGUUCGGACCUGAUGCUGUUUAGGGGUCGGACCUCAAUCCACUUAGAGAAUUUGUCGAUGGCGACCAGCAGGUGCGUGUAGCCCCCGGGUGCCUUCUGCAAGGGACCGACAAGGUCCAGACCCCACACAGCAAACGACCAGGUGAUGGGUAUUGUUUGCAAGGCCUGAGCGAGCAGGUGCGUCUGCCUUGCGUAGAAUUGACACCCUUGGCAGGUGCGUACAAUCCUAGUGGCAUCGGCCACCGCGGUUGGCCAGUAGAAAACCUGUCGGAAGGCAUUUCCAACAAGGGCUCGAGGCACUGCGUGAUGACCGCAAGCCCCCGAGUGUAUUUCUUGUAUUAGUUCCUGACCUUCGGUGAUGGAUAUGCAUCGCUGGAGGAUGCCUAAGGGGCUGCGGUGGUAGAGCUCCUUUCCGUCACCCAGCAAGACGAACGACUUGGCGCGCCGCGCCAGUCGCCGAGCUUCGGUUCUGUCGAGGGGUACGGGGUCUGCCAGUUUCCAUUAGGCAGGACCCCAUUCCGCUCUUCCUCGACGCGCAGUGCCUCACCCUCGGGGGUCGAGGGUGCCUCGGGCUGGGCCGAGACCUUCUCGGGCUCGGGCGUGUCGUCGGUCUUUACUGAGGGUUGAUGUAGGUCUCGGGAGAAGACGUCCGGAGGAACCGUUGUCCGCCCCAAGGCUAUCUUAGCUAGCUCGUUCACAGUCUCGUUGUAUCGUCGGGCGAUGUGGUUGAGCUCGAGCCCGUAGAACUUGUCCUCUAGGCGUCGAACCUCAUUGCAGUAGGCUUCCAUCUUCGGGUCGCGGCAGUGGGAGUUCUUCAUGACUUGGUCGAUGACAAGCUACGAGUCGCCACGAGCGUCGAGGCGCCGGACUCCUAGCUCGAUGGCGAUGCGCAACCCGUUAACCAGAGCCUCGUACUCGGCCACAUUGUUGGACGCUGGGAAAUGGAGGCGCAACACGUAGCGGAGGUGCUUUCCGAGGGGUGAGAUGAAGAGUAGGCUCGCGCCCGCUCCUGUUUUCAUCAACGACCCGUCGAAAAACAUGGUCCAGAGUUCCGGUUGGAUUGGAGCUGCUGGAAGCUGGGUGUCGACCCAUUCAGCCAUAAAGUCCGCCAGGACUUGGGACUUGAUGGCCUUCCGAGGGGCGAACAAGAUUGUCUCGCCCAUGAUCUCCACCGCCCACUUUGCAAUCCUGCCCGAGGCCUCUCGGCACUGGAUGAUCUCCCCCAGGGGGAAGGAUGACACCACAGUCACCGGAUGAGAAUCGAAGUAGUGUCACAACUUUCGCCGCGUCAGGAUUACCGUGUACAGUAGCUUCUGGAUUUGCGGGUAGCAGAUUUUGGUCUCGGACAGUACUUCACUAAUGAAGUAGACUGGCCUCUGGACGGGCAAUGCGUGCCCUUCUUCUCAUCUCUCGACCACGAUCGCGGCGCUGACCACCUGAGUGGUAGCGGCGACAUAGAUCAAGAGGGCUUCUCCGGCAGCGGGGGGCACCAAGAUGGGCGCGCUUGUAAGGAGCGCCUUUAGGUUCCCGAGGGCUUCCUCGGCCUCGGGGGUCCAAGUGAAGCGCUCGGUCUUCCUUAAGAGGCGGUACAGAGGUAGGCCUCUUUCGCCGAGGCGCGAGAUGAAACGGCUCAGAGCCGCAAGGCAUCCCAUGACCCUAUGUACUCCUUUCAAGUCCUUGAUGGGGCCCAUGUUGGUGAUGGCUGCAAUUUUCUCCGGGUUGGCCUCGAUGCCCCGCUCGGAGACGAUGAACCCCAGGAGCAUGCCUCGGGGGACUCCGAAGACACACUUCUCGGGCUUGAGUUUUACGCCUUUCACCUUGAGACACUUGAAUGUCGUUUCGAGGUCGGAGAGGAGGUCGGAGGCUUUCCUUGUCUUGACUACGAUGUCAUCGACGUAAGCCUCGACCGUUCGACCAAUGUGCUCUCCGAACACGUGGUUCAUGCACCUUUGGUAUGUCACGCCUGCAUUCCUCAAACCGAAUGGCAUAGUAAUAUAACAGUCAAUGCCAAAGGGCGUGAUGAAAGAAGUCGCGAGCUAGUCGGACUCUUUCAUCCUGAUUUGGUGAUACCCUGAGUAGGCAUCAAGGAAUGACAAGGUUUCGCACCCAGCAGUGGAAUCCAUGAUUUGAUCGAUGCGAGGCAGAGGGUAGGGAACCUUCGGACAUGCUUUGUUUAGACUAGUGUAGUAUACACACAUCCGCCAUUUCCCACCUUUAUUUUUCACAAGCACAGGGUUGGCUAGCCAUUCGGGAUGGAAUACCUCUUUGAUGAACCCUACAGCCAUCAGCUUGUGGAUCUCCUCGCCUAUGGCUCUGUGCUUUUCUUCGUCGAAUCGGCGCAGAGGCUGCUUCACGGGUCGGGCUCCAACUUGGAUAUCCAGCGAGUGCUCGGCGACAUCCCUCGGUAUGCCAGGCAUGUCCGAGGGACUCCACGCAAAAACUUUGGUGUUUGCGCGGAGAAAGUCGACGAGCACUGCUUCCUAUUUGGGGUCGAGCUCGGAGCCGAUCCGGACUUGCUUGGAGGCGUCGUCGCUGGGGUCGAGAGGGACGGACUUAACCGUCUCAGCUGGCUCGAAGUUGCCAGCGUGGCGCUUCGCAUCUGGCGCCUCCUUGGAGAGGCUCUCCAGGUCAGCGAUGAGGGCCUCGGAUUCGACGAGGGCCUCGGCGUACUCCACGCACUCCACGUCGCAUUCGUACGCGUGUCGGUACGUGGAGCCGACGGUGAUGACCCCAUUGGGGCCCGACAUCUUGAGCUUGAGGUAGGUGUAGUUGGGGACGGCCAUGAACUUGGCGUAGCAUGGUCUCCCCAACACUGCGUGGUAGGUUCCUCGAAACCUGACCACCUCGAACGUGAGGGUUUCCUUUCGGAAGUUGGAGGGAGUCCCGAAGCAGACGGGCAGAUCGAGUUGCCCAAGGGGCUGGACGCGCUUCCCGGGGAUGAUCCCGUGAAAGGGCGCCGCGCCGGCCCGGAUCAUGGAUAGAUCGAUCUACAGGAGCCCCAGGGUCUCGGCGUAGAUGAUGUUGAGGCUGCUGCCUCCGUCAAUGAGGACCUUGGUAAGCCUGACGUUGCCGAUGACGGGAUUGACAACGAGCGGGUACUUCCCCGGGCUCGGCACGCGGUCGGGGUGGUCACCUUGGUCGAAGGUGAUGGGCUUGUCAGACCAGUCUAGGUAGACUGGUGUCGCCACCUUCACCGAGCAGACCUCCCGGCGCUCUUGCUUGCGGUGCCGAGCCGAGGCGUUCGCCACUUGUCCACUAUAGAUCAUGAAGCAAUCGUGGACCUCGGGGAACUCCUCUGCCUUGUGACCCUCCUUCUUGUCGUUGUCGGGGGCUCUGCCUCCUUCGCUGGUGGCCCGGCCUUGUGGAAGUAGCGCCGAAGCAUGACGCACUCUUCAAGGGUGUGCUUGAUGGGACCCUGAUGAUAGGGGCAUGACUCCUUGAGCAUCUUGUCGAACAGGUUGGAGCCUCAAGGAGGCUUCACAGGGUUCCUGUGCUCGGUGGCGGCGACAAGGUCUGCGUCGGCGGCGUCGCGUUUCGCUUGCGACUUCUUCUUGCCCUUCUUCUUGGUGCCGCGCUGAGCGGACGCCUCGGGGACUUCUUCCGGCUGGCGCCCCUGAGGCUGCUUGUCCUUCCGGAAGAUGGCCUCGACUGCCUCCUGGCCGGAGGCGAACUUGGUGGCGAUGUCCAUCAGCUCGCUUGCCCUGGUGGGGGUCUUGCGACCCAGCUUGCUCACCAGGUCGCGACAAGUGGUGACGGCGAGGAACGCGCCGAUGACAUCUGAGUCGGUGAUGUUGGGCAGCUUGGUGCGCUGCUUCGAAAAUCGCCGGAUGUAGUCCCGGAUGGAUUCUCCUGGCUGCUGGCGGCAGCUUCGGAGUUCCCAGGGCGCACGUAUGUGCCCUGGAAGUUGCCGGCGAAGGCUUUGACUAGGUCAUCCCAGUUGGAGAUCUGCGCAGGAGGUAGAUGCUCCAGCCAAGCUCGGGCGGCAUCGGAGAAGAACAGGGGGAGGUUGCGGAUGAUGAGGUUGUCAUCGUCCAUUCCACCCAGCUGGCAGGCCAGCCGGUAGUCCGCGAGCCACAGUUCCGGCCUUGUCUCCCCGAGUACUUGGUGAUGGUAGUCGGGGUUCGGAACCAGGUCGGGAACGGCGCCCGUCGUAUGGCCCGGCUGAAAGCUUGCGGACAGUGUGGUUCUGGCGAGGGGCUCCGAUCCUCCCCGCUGUCGUAGCGUCCCCCAUGCCUAGGGUGGUAGCCUCGGUGCACCUUCUCGUCGAGGUGGGCUCGACGGUCGUGGUGGUGGUGCUCGUUGCCGAGGCGUCCCGGGGCCGCAGGCGCUGUGUCCCGCGUGCGCCCGGUGUGGACCGAGGCUUCCCGCAUGAAUCGGGAAGUCGCGGCGCGAUGCUCCGGGGGGUACCCUUGCCUUCGGGAGGCAGAGCUUUCGGCCCGUCGGACCGCGGCAUCCUCCAGGAGAUUCUUGAGCUCUCCCUGGAUACGCCGCCCCUUGGUGGUGGAUGGUUCCGGCAUCGCUCGGAGUAGUAUUGCUGCUGCAGCCAGGUUCUGGCCGACCCCACUGGAAGCUGGGGCAGCCUUCCCCUGGCAUCGUCGGCGAUGCGGUGUGGACGUCCUGGGCCAGAUGACGCGCUUCUCCGGACGAUGCUUGGCCUGCCCACUCCUGCCCGAUAUUUUGCCGAAGCUGCACAAGUUGUCCUGCUUCCUCGUCGAGCCUGGCCUGCAUCUCGCGGAUUUGCUCGAGCUGUGCGUCCUGACCCCCCGCAGGGACUGGGACCACAGCUAGCUCCCGAAGGAUGUCAACGCGAGGCGCAGGCCUAGGGGGAUCGCCAUCCUCCGGCAUACCAAGAUGGUUGCCUUCGUCGAGACCCCAUAGAUCGACGUGGAAACAUUCGCGACUUGGGCCACAUUCCUCGUCGCCGAGGCUGUGGCUACUAUCGGAGCAAUCGGAGAGGCAGUAGUCACAUGCGGUCAUGAAGUCCCGCAUGGCACUGGGGUUAUCGAGCCCGGAGAAAUCCCAACCAGAGUCGGGCUCGUCAUCUUCCUCGGAACCCGGGGGCCUGUAGGUCGAGACGGCCGUCAGCCGGUCCCAGGUUGACCACAUAUGAUACCCCGGAAGGUUCAGAUAUGCCUUUAUGAAAGCAUCCACCGAAGUGGGGUCGCUUGGUGGGUCGAAGUUGAAUCUAAAAGGCACAGGAUGAAAAACGGACGGUACUUCUUGAUCGACGGAUGGUGACGAAGCCGUGUCGGGGACGGACUGCACUGUCAUCUCAGGUAUGAGGCUAGCGCCCAGCAAGUCCUUCGCGAGCGUGUUGGCGUCGUCCGUCUGCUUGGGGUUGGCGUGUUGCGGGGAAACGACGCUCGUCUUCGUCUCAGACGCGAGGUCAACACCCGACGUGUCCCCCGUUGGGGCGUCGGCGUCGUCGACUCGCUCGACAGCCGACGAGGUGCCGCCUCCUGCUUGGCCAUGCCUGCCCCGCCUCCUCCUCCGUCGGCGGGGAAGGUGAUGGGACAGACCCGGAUGUUGCUCUUCUGCCACGCGGGGAAGACGUCGUCGAUUCCGCCGCCGGCGGGCGGGCUGACGGCCGCCAUUGUCGUUGUCGUGCGGCGGAGGAAGGAGUAUCAUGUCGUAGCUGCCGUCGAGGGACAUGAACUCAAAACUCCCGAAACGGAGCAUCGUCUCGGGCUGGAGAGGUCGUUGGAGACUACCCAUCUGGAGCUUGAUGGGAAGCUAUUCGUCAACACGCAACAGGCCCCUACCUGGCGCGCCAACUGUCGGCGUUUCGACCCCGGGGGGUCCCUGGACCGACGAGUAAAUUGUCGCUGCGUGUCCCAGCCUAGAUGGGUCGGCGCGAGGCGGAACACAAGGGGGAAAACAGUAAGGGGAAACCGUGGCCUCGUGUUGUCCUGCGCCCAGGGCGGAUGCGCUUGCAGUAGGGGGUUACAAGCGUUCGCGAGAGAGAGAGAGAGCGAGAGCCUUGUGCGUCGGCCCGUCCUCCCGCGCGGCCACCUUCUCAUAUGAGGGCCCUGGACAUUCCUUUUAUAGAUGUAAGGAGAGGGUCCAGGUGUACAACAGGGAGCAUAGCAAUGUGCUAACGUGUCUAGCGGGGAGGAGCCAGAGCCCUGUGUACAUGCCGUCGUGGCUGUUGGAGAGGUGUUGCUGCCAUGUUCAUGUGAUGUCGUGGCCGUCGGAGGAGUGCUUCAGCUCUGUGGAAGCACAACUGUCAGGGCUGUCGGAUCCUUGCUGACGUCUCCUUGCUUCCGUAAGGGGCUGAGAACCGCCGUCGUCAUGGAGAACGCGGGGUGCCAUCAUUACUUGUUUUACCGGGGCGAGCCAGAUGAGACGUCGGUCUUGUUCCCCAUAGUCUGAGCUAGCUAGGGGUAGGGUAGUGAUGGCCCCUCCUGUGACGUGGUUGGUCCGAGCCCGAGGUCGGGUGAGACGGUGACUCCUUCGAGGUCGAGGCUGAGUCCGAGCCCUGGGGUCGGGCGAGGCGGAGACCGUCUUCCGAAGUCGAGGUUGAGUCUGAGCCCUGGGGUCGGGCGAGGCGGAGACCGUCUUCCGGAGUCGAGGUUGAGUCCGAGCCCUGGGUCGGGCGAGGCGGAGACCGUCUUCCAGAGUCGAGGUUGAGUCCUAGCCCUGGGGUCGGGCGAGGCGGAGACCGUCUUCCGAAGUCGAGGUUGAGUCCGAGCCCUGGGGUCGGGCGAGGCGGAGCUUCCAAUGACGCCCGAGGCUGGACUUGGCUGCUGUCAGCCUCACCCUGGCGGGUGGCACAACAGUCGGAGCAGGGCAGGCGGCGCAGUUUUCCUGUCAGCUCGGUCAGUGGAGCGGCGAAGUGAUUGCGGUCACUUCGGCCCUGCCGACUGAGGACCGCGUGUCAGGAUAAGGUGUCAGACGAUCCUUGCAUUGAAUGCUCCCGCGAUACGGUCGGUUGGCGUGGCGAUCUGGCCAAGGCUGCUUCUCCGCGAAGCCUGCCCGAGCUGGGCCUCGGGCGAGUCGAAGGUGCACCCGUUGCUUGAGGAGACCCUCGGGCGAGACGUGAAUCCUCCUGGGUCGGCUAUCUUUGCCCGAGGCUGGGCUCGGGCGAGGCGAGAUCAUGUCCCUUGAGUGGACGGAGCCUUGACCUGAAUUGCGCCCAUCAGGCCUUUGCAGCUUUGUGCUGAUGGCGGUUACCAGCUGAGAUUAGGAGUCUUGGGGGUACCCCUAAUUAUGGUCCCCGACAAAUUUAUAUCAAUCACUUAAUAACUUCAGAAAAUUGUAACUCCGAAUUUAGUGAUUCUUGUUCCUACGAUCUCGAUACGAUGCGUAGAAUAAUAUCAUGCAUUCUGUUCUUCUGUUUUGUGUGAUGUUAAUUUCUCCUAUACCAUGUUUGUUUGUAUUGUUGCGAGUAGAUGAGCAAGCCACUGAGGACCUAGGUGUUCAGCAGGUGGAGACUGCCGAGCAGGAGCUCGUUGAAGGCAAGUUGUGCUCUUGACCACUUCUAUUUACCCCAUAUUGUUUUUUAUAAUCAUUUUAGCAUGCAUAUGCUUAAUUAUGAUGGGACCCAAUAGGUCACCCUAGUUUGGUCAUCUGUACACUUUUGUUUACUCCUGAACUUUUGGAUAGUCUUUGCUAUUGCUAUAUAUGGUUUCGGGGGACGAGAUAACUAUUACACAUGGUCAUUCUUUAUUAUUCUUCUUCUAUUCUGUUCAUGAUAAGACUAUUAUGUUAAUUGGAACAUGGAGCUAAACUUGAGAAACACGUGCCACCAUAAGGGUGGAAUGGGACACCCUUGGCUGACUAAUUAGGAAAGUUAGUAGAGGACUACCUUACCCGAAAGGGGCAAGGGCAGUAGGGGAGUUGGCGAGUAGGGAGGUUCUCGGGUUGAUUUUGAUGUGAUGACGGUCAGAUGGAGGAUUCCUGCAUUGCGCUCCCUAGAAACUGUAGUGGGUUUUCUGAAGUUAGUGGAACUUUGUAAAGGACUCGUAGUGUUACCCUGACUCGCUUCCUUGGUAGAGGUGUAUGGGAUUCAUGACCCCUUGGCAGAUGGGUAACAUGACUUGUGGGUAAAGGGUACAACCUCUGCAGAGUGUAAAACUGGUAUACUAGCCGUGCUCGCGGUCAUGAGCAGUUCAGGACUCUCGCAUGAUUAAUUUAUGGAAUUAAAUUCAAUUUGUUAUUUGUAUCACAUUAUGGUUUAUUAUUAAUUUUGAUACAUUAUUACUCUAGUUUGGUAUUGUCGGCGUUUCGAGACCGGGGGGUCCCUUGGGCCGACGAGUGAGUGUCGCCGCGUGCCCCAGCCCAGAUGGGUCGAGCGCGAGGGCGAGCGCGAAGGGGGAGAAGCGAGGCGGCCGGAGACCGGCGUGAGAGGUGGGAAUCCCGCGGCCUUCGUGUUCGUCCCGCGCCCAGGUCGGGUGCGCUUGCAGUAGGGGGUUACAAGCGUCCACGCGGGAGAGGGAAGCGAGCGGCCCCAAGCGAGCGCCUGUCUCGUCCUCGUCCCCGCGCGGCCAACCCUCUCUAAGAGGGCCCUGGUCCUUCCUUUUAUAGGCGUAAGGAGAGGAUCCAGGUGUACAAUGGGGGGGUGUAGCAGAGUGCUACGUGUCUAGCGGGGGAGAGCUAGCGCCCUAAGUACAUGCCGAUGUGGCAGCCGGAGACAUUUUGGCACCCAGCUGGUGUGAUGUCGUGGCUGUCGGAGGAGCGACGGAGCCUGGCGGAGGGACAGCUGUCGGAGCGGUUGGGUCCUUGCUGACGUCCUCUUGCUUCCGUAAGGGGGCUGAGAGCCGCCGUCGUCACAGAGUAUGCGGGGCGCCAUCAUUGCCUAUCUGGCGGAGCUAGCCAGAUGGGACACCGGUCUUGUUCCCUGCGGCCCGAGUCAGCUCGGGGUAGGGUGAUGAUGACGCUUCCUGUUGACGUGGCUGGCCUGCGCCCUAGGUUGGGCAAUGUGGAGGCUCCUCCGAAGCCGAGGUCGAGUCUGUCUUCCAUGACCGAGGCCGAGUCCGAGCCCCUGGGUCGGGCGAGGCAGAGGUCGUCGGCAGAGGCCAGGGCGGAGUCCGAGCCCUGGGGUCGGGCGAAGCGGAGUUCGUCGUCUUCUAGGGCUGAGCCCGAGUCCGAGCCCUGGGUCGGGCGGAGCGGAGUUCGCCGUCUUCCGGGACUUAGCCCGAGUCCGAGCCCUGGGUCGGGCGGAGCGGAGUUCGCUGUCUUCCGGGACUUAGCCCGAGUCCGAGCCCUGGGUCGGGCGGAGCGGAGUUCGCCGUCUUCCGGGACUUAGCCCGAGUCCGAGCCCUGGGUCGGGCGGAGCGGAGUUCGCCGUCUUCCGGGACUUAGCCCGAGUCCGAGCCCUGGUUCGGGCGGAGCGGAGUUCGCUGUCUUCCGGGACCUAGCCCGAGUCCGAGCCCUGGGUCGAGCGAAGCGGAGCUUCCUAUGGUGCCUUUGGCAGGGCCUGACUGCCUGUCAGUCUCACUCUGUCAAGUGGUACUGCAGUCGGAGUGGCGCAGGCGGCGCUGUCCUUCUGUCAGGCCGGUCAGUGGAGCGGCGAAGUGACGGCGGUCACUUCGGCUCUGCCGGGGGGCGCGCGUCAGGAUAAAGGUGUCGGGCCACCUUUGCGUUAAAUGCUCCUGCGACUUGGUCGGUAGGUGCGGCGAUUUAGUCAGGGUUGCUUCUUAGCGAAGGCAGGGCCUCGGGCGAGCCGGAAAUAUGUUUGCCGUUGGAGGGGGGCCUCGGGCGAGACGGAAAUCCUCUGGGGUCGGCUGCCCUUGUCCGAGCCUAGGCUCGGGCGAGGCAUGAUCGAGUCGCUCGAAUGGACUGAUCCCUGACUUAAUCGCACCCAUCAGGCCUUAGCAGCUUUAUGCUGAUGGGGGUUACCAGCUGAGAAUUAGGAGUCUUGAGGGUACCCCUAAUUAUGGUCCCCGACAGUAGCCCCCGAGCCUCGAAGGGAGUGUUAGCACUCGCUUGGAGGCUUUCGUCGCACUUUUUUGCAAGGGGACCAGCCUUUCUCGGUUGCAUUUUGUUCCGGUGGGUGCGCGCGAGCGCACCCGCCGGGUGUAGCCCCCGAGGCCUCGGAGGAGUGGUUUAACUCCUUCGAGGUCUUGAUGCCUCGCGUAAUGCUUCGGCUGGUCUGGUUGUUCCCUCAUGCGAGCUGGCCGUAGCCCGGGUGUACGGUCGGGUCCCAAGUUCUCGGGCUGGUAUGUUGACGCUGUCAACGGUUCGGCCGGAGCCGGGUUUGCGAGAGCAGCCCCUGAGCCUCCGCACAGGGUGAGAGGGCGAUCAGGGACAGACUCGGCUUUUUUACAUACGCCCCUGCGUCGCCUUUCCGCAAGGAGGAGGGGGGGAAAGCGCCAUGUUGCCCUCGAUGGGCGCCGAACAUGGUGUCUCCGGUGAGCUGCAAGAGGGUAAUCCGAGUGGACGUUCGUGCCCCGUUCGUUAGGGGUCGGCUAGGGGCCCAGAGGCACGCCCAAAAGUACCUGCGGGUGAUCUGCCGGACCCGGUCCCCUGGCGACGGGGUCCGAGGGCUCGAUGCCUCCCUCUGAUGGGAUUCCGUUACAAGAUCGCUCCCGCUGGUCUCGGAAAUGUCCUAGGGUACCUCGGGAGCGCAGCCCGAGCCUUGGUUAUGUAUCGAACGUACCCCUGGUCAUCCCUCGCUCGGCGUCUGAGGCGGCUGUGAACCCUUUGGGGGCCAGCCUUCGAACCCCUGAUCAGUAAUGGGCGCGGAGCCCGAGUAGCCUGAGGCGGCCGUGGAACCCUUCGGGGGCUGGCCUUCGAACCUCUGACCAGUAGUGGGUGUAGGGCCCAUGCAAUCUGAGGCGGCUGUCGAACCCUUCGGGGGGCCAGCCUUCGAACCUCUGAUCAGUAGGGAGGCUCGGAGCCUGGUUCCUUCACGGGGAAGGAUCCUUUUUGGGGUAUCCCCCUUUCCCGGUCCCUGUUGCAAGAGAGAGAGAAAGAGGAAAAAAGGAAAAGGAUACGAAAUCGAACGACGCGGCGUACCUUUUCUGGCGCGGUUAUUACGGCGAAGGCGAAGCGUCGCCCGCUUCUCGUGCCAGAAGCGUCGCCUGUCCUGCAUGGCUGCCCGCCCCUUUCGCCCGUUGGUCUGGGCAAAAGUGGAGGGUCACUUGUAACCGCUGGGCGGUCGUGUGCACCGCGCGCGGCAGUUUGGCUUCUUCUGCUCUGAGCCGGCUUGCAUGACAUGUGGGACCCAGCCCCCGCGCCGCAGGGGAGGGCCUUGGAGCGUGUUGGAGAAGACUCAGCCCGUGACGGCUGGGGGCGCAAGUAGGGAGAGUUGUCUUUAAAAGGAGGGUGACCCCCUUCGGAAGGCGACCAUGUCUUCGCGCUGCCUUAUGCAUCGUGUCUUUCCACCUUCCAAGCCCCCGGAUGGGGGAUACCCGCCGUCUUCUCGCCUCAUAGUUGGAGGAACGCAACUCCGCGGGAGUUGGUACCUUUCAGCCAUCGUUCGGCUUCAAGGAUUUUCAUCAUGCAGCCCGGCUGCACCCCUCUGCCGGCGGUCACCCAAGAUGGUGACCUCCAGCUUGAUGGUGGGGGAAAGCGAGCCGGGCUGCGGCCUCUGCCCCUCCCUCAGCCUCAAGGAUUUUCAUCACCAGGGCUGGGGAGGGGAGUGUGCCGAGUUGGGGUCGGCCCCUGCGUGGGCUGUGGCCCGCUCCUUCACUCAGUGAUCGGAGGGAAGGGCGGUCGUCGUCCGUGGCGCCGGCAGCUGCACCGUGCCUGGCUCUCGGACGUGAGUGGCUUCGGAGCCGCUCGCGGCGCCGGCGUUUGCCACAGCAGCUGGAAGAGGUUCUUCCGCCGACGAGAUAGCCAGGGCCGCCCACGGACCGACCUCCAACUCUACGGCCUUCUGCCCGUCCUUGCCUCACAAGUUUGGGCAUGGGUGGGGGCCUCCUGGCAGCAGCACCCGCCCUGAGGUCAGUGCUGCCGCUGUUUGGCCCCCCGGAGCAGAAGUCGUCGUCGUCGCUGCUGCCGGAGCAGGCGACGGCGCGCCGUUCGUCGGUCUUCUGUUGCUCUGCAGGCCCGCCCCCAUCGAGUGGGGUUGUUCGUACCUGCGGAGGGGGAACCGGAGUUCCGUUUGUAAUGGCACUUUGAAUGCCAGUGUUUUCGUUCAUUAUGGCUGUCGAGGCCUGAACAUGUAUGUAAUUUUGGCACGGAGCCGUGUUUUUUACUCAUUUUCGAGCACUAAGACUCGCCUGUUGGUUGUCUGAACCGCUUCACCAAGCGUGAGUCGCCCCGUGUCAAGGUGACGAGUGAGGUAUCCGUAUCCCAGAGGCGUAGGAGUCCCUCGGCUCGGUCGGCCUUGUUGUCCGAGGCUCCUCAAGCUUAGUUAAAGGGACCCCUUGGCCGCUCUUCGAUGAGCCGAGGCCAGGGGUAGCAAUAUCAGCAUGAACAGGGGCAGAGUUGGCUCGAAAAUGAAACCUGGUUGGUCGGAGCCUAGCCGGGUCGUCCGUUGGCGGGACCGAUGCUGGAAUUGACCAGCCGAAGCCUCGGGUCGGGCUGGCGCUCUUGGAAGAUGGUUGGCCGAGGCCCCCGGGGUGACCGGCCGAGCCGCCUGCCCGGGCCGGAUUCCCAGAGAAGUCCCUGGCGGCGAUGGCCCGGGCGUGGCGAUGACGUCGUCCUUCGGAGUGGAAAUCCUCGGACCGCGUCGCCAUCCGAGGCUGGGUCGGACCUCGCCGAAGGUGUCGUCGAUGCCGAGGGUGUUGCUACCCCUUCCAGCGUCAAGACCCGAGCCUGCAGGAUCAGAUUGUCUCGUAGCGUGUGCCUUCUGCGGCCGCCGAGGCCAAAACACACACCCUCGCUGUGUUGUAAAGCUGCGUCUCUUUUCCUCUUGUUUCGAGUAUCUGGACUUUUUUGUCGGUAACAGGGAUGUUUGUGCGAGCAAGAGUUGCUUCUCGCGGAAGGUGAUGAGUGAGGUAUCCGUAUCCCGGAGGCGUAGGAGUCCCUCGGCUCGGUCGGCCUUGCCGCUUACACGCACUUUUACCCGUCCAUGAGGCUCUGUCACCGACUCAGUCGAGAAGGCUCGAAGGAUUGCUUCGGCAGAAGAACUUCCGAACGUGAAGACUUGUCCGGUCCGCGGAAUCACUUAUCCGAACGUGAGUUACUUAUCGCAGAAGGUGAUGAGUGAGGUAUCCGUAUCCCGGAGGCGUAGGAGUCCCUCGGCUCGGUCAGCCUUGGCUGCUUACGUGCACUCCGUCGUUUUCAGGAUCCACUUUUCGAAGUAGUCAAAAAGCACGAAAGAUAUUCUGGCAGAAGAGAUCUUUUUUCGAGGAAAAUUUCAACGCAGAGGGGGUUCCCCCCCUUUUAGCCCCCGAGGGAGGGUCGGGCUUUGCCGAGGCGAGGCCGACCCUUCCUUGAUGACUAAACUUUGCGUGGGUGUGAGGUAUAUGAACAACUUGAAAACAUCUUAAGGGUAGAAGCGACGUAGCUGUUGGAUGUUCCAAGCGUUGCCGUAGACCUCGCCUUGACUGUUGGCCAGCUUGUACGUUCCCGGCUUCAGAACUUUGGCGAUGACGAAUGGCCCCUCCUAGGGGGGCGUGAGCUUGUGCCUCCCUUGGGCGUCUUGUCACAGCCGAAGCACCAGGUCGCCCACCUGGAGGUCUCGGGACCGGACCCCUCGGGCGUGGUAGCGUCGCAGGGGCUGCUGGUACCGCGCCGAGUGUAGUAAGGCCUUGUCCCGAGCUUCUUCCAGCUGGUCCAGCGAGUCUUCUCGGCUGGCUUGGUUGCUUUUAUCGCUGUAGGCCCUCGUCCUCGGAGAGCCGUAUUCCAGGUCUGUGGGCAAGACAGCCUCGGCCCCGUAUACUAGGAAGAACGGCGUGAAACCCGUGGCUCGGCUCGGCGUUGUCCUCAGGCUCCAGACCACCGAGGGGAGUUCCUUCAUCCAUCGCUUGCCGAACUUGUUGAGGUCGUUGUAAAUCCGAGGCUUGAGCCCUUGUAGAAUCAUGCCGUUGGCACGCUCUACUUGCCCAUUUGACAUGGGAUGAGCCACGGCGGCCUAGUCCACCCGGAUGUGGUGAUCCUCGCAGAAGUCCAAGAACUUUCUGCUGGUGAACUGGGUGCCGUUGUCGGUGAUGAUGGAGUUCGGGACCCCGAAGCGAUGGAUGAUGUUGGUGAAGAACGCCACCGCCUGCUCGGACCUGAUGCUGUUCAGAGGUCGGACCUCGAUCCACUUGGAGAAUUUGUCGAUGGCGACCAGCAGGUGCGUGUAGCCCCCUGGCGCCUUCUGCAAGGGGCCGACGAGGUCUAGACCCCAUACAGCAAAGGGCCAGGUGAUGGGUAUCGUCUGCAGAGCCUGAGCGGGCAGGUGGGUCUGCUUCACAUAGAAUUGACACCCUUCGCAGGUGCGGACAAUUCUAGUGGCGUCAGCCACCGCCGUUGGCCAGUAGAGGCCUUGUCGGAAAGCAUUCCCGACAAGGGCUCGAGGCGCUGCGUGAUGGCCGCAAGCCCCCGAGUGUAUCUCUCGCAGGAGUUCCUGACCUUCGGUGACGGAGAUGCACCGCUGGAGGAUGCCUGAGGGGCUGCGGUGGUAGAGCUCCUUCUCAUCGCCCAGCAAGACGAACGACUUGGCGCGCCGCGCCCCCCACCGAGCCUCGGCUCGGUCGAGAGGUAGCUCUCCUUGGUGGAGAUAUUGCAGGUACGGGGUCUGCCAGUUUCGAUCAGGCGUGGCCCCGCUUCGCUCCUCCUCGAUGCGCAGUGCCUCACCCUCGGAGGCCGGGGGUACCUCGGGCUGAACCGAGGGCGCCUCGGGCCGAGCUGAGGGUGCCUCGGGCUGUGCCGAGGGUACCUCGGGCUGGACCGAGGGUACCUCAGACUGGGCCGAGGGCGCCACAGGCUCGGGCGUGUUGUCGAUCUUGACGGAGGGUUGAUGUAGAUCCCGGGAGAAGACGUCCGGGGGAACCGUUGUUCGCCCCGAGGCUAUUUUAGCCAGCUCGUCCGCAGUCUUGUUGUAGCGCCGAGCGAUGUGGUUAAGCUCGAGCCCGUAGAACUUGUCUUCCAGGCGCCGAACCUCAUCGCAGUAGGCCUCCAUCUUCAGGUCGCGGCAGUGGGAGUUCUUCAUGACUUGGUCGAUGACGAGCUGCGAGUCACCACGGGCGUCGAGGCGCCGGACCCCUAGCUCGAUGGCGAUCUGCAACCCGUUGACCAGAGCCUCAUACUCAGCCACAUUGUUGGACGCCGGGAAAUGGAGGCGUAGCACAUAGCGUAGGUGUUUCCCGAGGGGCGAGAUGAAGAGUAGGCCCGCGCCGGCUCCCGUCUUCAUCAGCGACCCGUCGAAAAACAUGGUCCAGAGCUCCGGUUGGAUCGGAGCCGUCGGUAGCUGGGUGUCGACCCAUUCGGCUACGAAGUCCGCCAAGACCUGGGACUUGAUGGCCUUCCGAGGGGCGAACGAGAUUGUCUCGCCCAUGAUUUCCACCGCCCACUUUGCGAUCCUGCCCGAGGCCUCUCGGCACUGGAUGAUCUCCCCCAGGGGGAAGGAUGACACCACAGUUACCGGAUGAGACUCGAAGUAGUGUCGCAACUUCCGCCGCGUCAGGAUCACUGCAUACAGCAGCUUCUGAACUUGUGGGUAGCGGAUCUUGGUUUCGGACAGUACCUCGCUGACGAAGUAAACUGGCCUCUGAACGGGCAAUGCAUGCCCCUCUUCCUGCCUCUCGACCACAAUCGCGGCGCUAACCACCUGAGUGGUCGCGGCGACGUAUACCAAGAGGGCUUCUCCGGCAGCUGGAGGCACCAAGAUAAGCGCCUUUGUGAGGAGCGCCUUCAGGUUCCCGAGAGCUUCCUCGGCCUCAGGGGUCCAAGUGAAGCACUCAGCCUUCCUUAAGAGGCGGUACAGAGGCAGACCUUUUUCGUCGAGGCAUGAGAUGAAGCGGCUCAGAGCCGCGAGACAUCCCAUGACCCUCUGUACGCCUUUUAAGUCCUUGAUGGGCCCCAUGCUGAUGAUGGCUGCGAUCUUCUCCGGGUUGGCUUCGAUGCCCCACUCGGAGACGAUGAACCCCAAGAGCAUGCCCCGGGGCACCCGAAGACACACUUCUCGGGAUUGAGCUUGACGCCUUUCGCCUUGAGACAUCGGAAUGUCACUUCAAGGUCGGAAAGGAGGUCGGAAGCUUUCCUUGUCUUGACUACGAUGUCAUCGACGUAGGCCUCGACCGUGCGACCGAUGUGUUCGCCGAACACAUGGUUCAUGCAUCGCUGGUACGUCGCGCCCGCAUUCCUCAAGCCGAACGGCAUGGUGACAUAGCAGUACAUGCCGAAGGGCGUGAUGAAAGAAGUCGCGAGCUGGUCGGACUCUUUCAUCCUGAUUUGGUGAUACCCUGAGUAGGCAUCAAGGAAAGACAGGGUUUCGCACCCAGCAGUGGAAUCCACGAUUUGAUCGAUGCGAGGCAGAGGGUAGGGAACCUUCGGACAUGCUUUGUUGAGACCAGUGUGGUCUACACACAUCCGCCAUUUCCCCCCUUUCUUUCUCACAAGCACAGGGUUGGCAAGCCAUUCGGGAUGGAAUACCUCUUUGAUGAACCCUGCCGCCAUUAGCUUGUGGAUCUCCUCGCCUAUCACUCUGCGCUUCUCCUCGUCGAAUCGGCGCAGAGGCUGCUUGACGGGUCGGGCUCCGGCCCGAAUAUCCAGCGAGUGCUCGGCGACAUCCCUCGGUAUGCCGGGCAUGUCCGAGGGACUCCACGCGAAGACGUCGGCGUUUGCGUGGAGAAAGUCGACGAGCACUGCUUCCUAUUUGGGAUCGAGCCCGGAGCCGAUCCGGAUUUGCUUGGAGACGUCGCCACUGGGGUCGAGGGGGACGGCCUUAACCGUCUCCACUGGCUCGAAGUUGCCGGCAUGACGCUUCACGUCUGGCACCUCUUUGGAGAGGCUUUCCAGGUCGGCGAUGAGGGCCUCGGACUCGGCGAGGGCCUCAGCGUACUCCACGCACUCCACGUCGCAUUUGAACGCGUGCUUGUACGUGGGGCCGACGGUGAUGACCCCGUUGGGGCCCGACAUCUUGAGCUUCAGGUAGGUGUAGUUGGGGACGGCCAUGAACUUCGCGUAGCAUGGCCUUCCCAGUACCGCGUGGUAGGUUCCUCGGAACCCGACCACCUCGAACGUCAGAGUCUCCCUUCGGAAGUUGGAGGGCGUUCCGAAGCAGACGGGAAGGUCGAGUCGUCCGAGGGGCUGGACGCGCUUCCCGGGAAUGAUCCCGUGGAAGGGCGCAGCGCCUGCUCGGACGGAGGACAGAUCGACGUGCAGGAGCCCGAGGGUCUCGGCAUAGAUGAUGUUGAGGCUGUUGCCUUCGUCCAUAAGGACCUUGGUGAGCCUGACGUCGCCGAUGACGGGGUCGACGACGAGCGGGUAUUUCCCCGGGCUCGGCACGUGGUCGGGGUGGUCGGCUUGGUCGAAAGUGAUGGGCUUGUCGGACCAGUCUAGGUAGACUGGCGCCGCCACCUUCACCGAGCAGACCUCCCGGCGCUCUUGUUUGUGGUGCCGAGCCGAGGCAUUCGCCGAAUGCCCACCGUAGAUCAUGAAGCAGUCGCGGACCUCGGGGAACUCUCCUGCUUGGUGAUCUUCCUUCUUGUCGUCGUCGCGGGCCCUGCCACCCUCUGCGGGUGGCGCGGCCCUGUGGAAGUGGCGCCGAAGCAUGACGCACUCCUCAAGGGUGUGCUUGACAGGCCCCUGAUGAUAGGGGCAUGGCUCCUUGAGCAUCUUGUCGAAGAGGUUGGCACCUCCGGGGGGCUUCCGAGGGUUCUUGUACUCGACGGCGGCGACAAGGUCCGCGUCGGCGGCGUCGCGUUUCGCUUGUGACUUCUUCUUGCCUUUCUUCUUGGCGCCGCGCUGAGUAGACGCCUCGGGAGCAUCUUCUGAUGGGCGGCCCUGGGGCUGCUUGUCCUUUCGGAAGAUAGCCUCGACCGCCUCCUGGCCAGAGGCGAACUUGGUGGCGAUGUCCAUCAGCUCGCUCGCCCUGGUGGGGGUCUUGCGACCCAACUUGCUCACCAGGUCGCGGCAGGUGGUGCCGGCGAGGAACGCGCCGAUGACAUCCGAGUCGGUGAUAUUGGGCAGCUCGGUGCGCUGUUUCGAAAAUCGCCGGAUGUAGUCCCGGAGAGACUCUCCUGGCUGCUGCCGGCAGCUUCAGAGGUCCCAGGAAUUCCCGGGGCGCACGUACGUGCCCUGGAAAUUGCCGGCGAAAGCUUGGACCAGGUCAUCCCAGUUGGAGAUCUGCCCCGGAGGCAGGUGCUCCAACCAGGCGCGAGCGGUGUCGGAGAGGAACAGGGGGAGGUUGCGGAUGAUGAGGUUGUCGUCGUCCGUUCCACCCAGUUGGCAGGCCAGACAGUAGUUCGCGAGCCACAGUUCCGGUCUCGUCUCCCCCGAGUACUUUGCGAUAGUAGUCGGGGGUCAGAACCGGGUCGGGAACGGUGCCCGUCGGAUGGCCCGGCUGAAGGCCUGCGGACCGGGCGGUUCGGGCGAGGGACUCCGAUCCUCCCCGCUGUCGUAGCGUCCCCCACGUCUGGGGUGAUAGCCUCGGCGCACCCUCUCGUCGAGGUGGGCCCGACGGUCGCGAUGAUGGUGCUCGUUGCCGAGGCGGCCCGGAGCCGCAGGCGCGGUGUUGCGCGUGCGCCCGGUGUAGACCGAGGCUUCCCGCAUGAAUCGGGAAGUCGCGGCAUGAGGUUCCGAGGGGUAUCCCUGCCUUCGGGAGGCAGAGCUCUCGGCCCGUCGGACCGCAGCUGAUAGUCGCCUAGAGGGGGGUGAAUAGGGCGAAACUGAAAUUUACAAAUAUAAACACAACUACAAGCCGGGUUAGCGUUAGUAAUAAAGAAACGAGUCCGCGAGAGAGGGCGCAAAACAAAUCGCAAGCAAAUAAAGAGUGUGACACGUGGAUUUGUUUUACCGAGGUUCGGUUCUCGCAAACCUACUCCCCGUUGAGGAGGCCACAAAGGCCGGGUCUCUUUCAACCCUUCCCUCUCUCAAACGAUCCCGAGGAUCGAGUGAGCUUUCUCUUCUCAAUCACUUGGAACACAAAGUUCCCACAAGGACCACCACAAGUUUGGUGUCUCUUGCCUCAAUUACAAGUGAGUUUGGUCGCAAUGAAAGAAUCAAGAAAGAAGAAAGCAAUCCAAGCGCAAGAGCUCGAAAGAACACAAGCAAAUCACUCUCUCUAGUCACUAUGGCGUUGUGUGGAAUUUGGAGAGGAUUUGAUCUCUUUGGUGUGUCUAGAAUUGAAUGCUAGAGUUCUUGUAGUAGUUGGGAAGUGGAAAACUUGGAUGCCAUGAAUGGUGGGGUGGUUGGGGUAUUUAUAGCCCCAACCACCAAAAGUGGCCGUUGGGAGGCUGUCUGUUCGAUGGCGCACCGGACAGUCCGGUGCACACCGGACAUGUCCGGUGCCCCCGCCACGUCAUCAAUGCUGUUGGAUUCUGACCGUUGGAGCUUCUGACUUGUGGACCCGCCUGGAUGUCCGGUGCACACCGGACAUGCACUGUUCCUUGUCCGGUGCGCCAGUAUGGGCGCGCCCGACUUCUGCGCGCGCUGCGCGCGCAUUAAUUGCGUUGCAGGUAGCCGUUGGCGCCGAAUAGUCGUUGCUCCGGAGUUGCACCAGACAGUCCGGUGCACACCGGACAUGUCCGGUGAAUUAUAGCGGACUAGCCGUUGGAGAUUCCCGAAGCUGGCGAGUUCCUGAGGCCGCUCUUCCUUGGUGCACCGGACACUGUCCGGUGUACACCGGACAGUCCGGUGAAUUAUAGCGCGAGUGCCUCUGGAAAUUCCCGAAGGUGGCGAGUUUGAGUUAGAGUCCUCUGGUGCACCGGACAGGUCCGGUGGUGCACCGGACACUGUCCGGUGGCACACCGGACAGUCCGGUGCGCCAGACCAGAGGUGCCUUCGGUUGGCCCUUUGCUCUUUUGUUGAACCCAACUCUUGAUCUUUUUAUUGGCUAAGUGUGAACCUUUAGCACCUGUAUAACUUAUACACUAGAGCAAACUAGUUAGUCCAAUUAUUUGUGUUGGGCAAUUCAACCACCAAAAUUAUUUGAGAACUAGGUGUAAGCCUAAUUCCCUUUCAAUCUCCCCCUUUUUGGUGAUUGAUGCCAACACAAACCAAAGCAAGUAUAGAAAUGCAUAAUUGAAUUAGUUUGCAUAAUGUAAGUGCAAAGGUUGCUUGGAAUUGAGCCAAUAUAACUACUUACAAGAUAUGCAUGGAUUGUUUCUUACUUAUAACAUUUUGGACCACGCUUGCACCACAUUUUUUUUGUUUUUGCAAAUUCUUUUGUAAGUCUUUUUCAAAGUUCUUUUGCAAAUAAUCAAAGGUAAAUAAAUAAGAUUUUGCAAAGCAUUCUUAAAAUUUGAAAUUUUCUCCCCCUGUUUCAAAUGCUUUUCCUUUGACUAGACAAAACUCCCCCUAAAUGAGAUCCUCCUCUUAGUGUUCAAGAGGGUUUUUAUAUGUCAUUUUUUAAAUACUACUUUCUCCUCCUUUUGAACACAAUAGGAUACCAAUUGAUAAUAUCUUUGGAAAACACAAAGUUUUUGAAAUUGGUGGUGGUGCGGUCCUUUUGCUUUGGUCUCAUAUUUUCUCCCCCUUUGGCAUGAAUCGCCAAAAACGGAAUCAUUAGAGCCCUCAAGUUACAUUCUCCCUCUUUGGUCAAAACAAAUGAGUGAAGAUUAUACCAAAGAUGGAGUUCUUGUGCUUUGUGCUCACGCUGUCUCCCCCUAGGAGUGACGGCGAAGGAUGAGUUACGUAGUGGAAGCCUUUGUCUUCGCCGAAGACUCCAAUUCCCUUUCAAUACACCUAUGACUUGGUUUAAAAUAGACUUGAAAACACAUUAGUCAUAGCAUAUGAAAGAGACAUGAUCAAAGGUAUAUAAAAGAGCUAUGUGUGCAAUUUAACAAAAGAAGUUCCUAGAAUCAAGAAUAUUUAGCUCAUGCCUAAGUUUGUUAAAAGUUUGUUCAUCAAGAGGCUUGGUAAAGAUAUCGGCUAAUUGAUCUUUAGUAUUAAUGUAAGAAAUCUCGAUAUCUCCCUUUUGUUGGUGAUCCCUAAGAAAAUGAUACUGAAUGGCUAUGUGCUUAGUGCGACUAUGCUCGACGGGAUUGUCGGCCAUUUUGAUUGCACUCUCAUUAUCACAUAGCAAAGGGACUUUGGUUAAUUUGUAACCGUAGUCCCGCAGGGUUUGCCUCAUCCAAAGCAAUUGCGCGCAACAAUGACCUGCGGCAAUGUACUCGGCUUCGGCGGUGGAAAGAGCGACCGAAUUUUGCUUCUUUGAAGCCCAAGACACCAAGGAUCUUCCCAAGAACUGGCAAGUCCCUGAUGUGCUCUUCCUAUUGAUUUUGCACCCCGCCCAAUCGGCAUCCGAAUAACCAAUUAAAUCAAAUGUGGAUCCCCUAGGAUACCAAAGCCCAAACUUAGGAGUAUAAGCCAAAUAUCUCAAGAUUCGUUUUACGGCCUUAAGGUGAGCUUCCUUAGGGUCGGCUUGGAAUCUUGCACACAUGCAUACGGAAAGCAUAAUAUCCGGUCGAGAUGCACAUAAAUAGAGCAAAGAACCUAUCAUCGACCGGUAUACCUUUUGAUCCACGGACUUACCUCCCGUGUCGAGGUCUAGAUGCCCAUUGGUUCCCAUGGGUGUCUUGAUGGGUUUGGCAUCCUUCAUUCCAAACUUGUUUAGAAUGUCUUGAGUGUACUUCGUUUGGCUAAUGAAGGUGCCGUCUUGGAGUUGCUUCACUUGAAAUCCCAAGAAAUACUUCAACUCCCCCAUCAUAGACAUCUCGAACUUUUGUGUCAUGAUCCUACUAAACUCUUCACAUGUAGACUUGUUAGUGGACCCAAAUAUAAUAUCAUCAACAUAAAUUUGGCAUACAAACAAGUCAUUUUCAAGAGUUUUAGUAAAGAGUGUAGGAUCGGCCUUUCCGACUUUGAAUCCAUUUGCAAUAAGAAAGUCUCUAAGGCAUUCAUACCAUGCUCUUGGGGCUUGCUUAAGCCCAUAAAGCACCUUAGAGAGCUUAUAGACAUGGUUAGGGUACUCACUGUCUUCAAAGCCGGGAGGUUGCUCAACAUAGACCUCUUCCUUGAUUGGUCCAUUGAGGAAGGCACUUUUCACGUCCAUUUGAUAAAGCUUAAAGCCAUGGUAAGUAGCAUAGGCCAAUAAUAUACGAAUUGACUCAAGCCUAGCUACGGGUGCAUAGGUUUCACCGAAAUCCAAACCUUCGACUUGAGAAUAUCCUUUGGCCACAAGUCGAGCUUUGUUCCUUGUCACCACACCAUGCUCAUCUUGCUUGUUGCGGAAGACCCAUUUGGUUCCUACAACAUUUUGAUUAGGACGUGGAACUAAAUGCCAUACCUCAUUUCUAGUGAAGUUGUUGAGCUCCUCUUGCAUCGCCACCACCCAAUCCGAAUCUUGGAGUGCUUCCUCUACCCUGUGUGGCUCAAUAGAGGAAACAAAAGAGUAAUGCUCACAAAAGUGUGCAACACGAGAUCUAGUUGUUACCCCCUUAUGAAUGUCGCCAAGGAUGGUGUCGACGGGGUGAUCUCGUUGGAUUGCUUGGUGGACUCUUGUGUGUGGCGGCCUUGGUUCUUCAUCCUCCUUGUCUUGAUCAUUUGCAUCUCCCCCUUGAUCUAUGACGUCAUCUUGAGGUGGCUCAUUUGUUUGAUCUUCUUCUUCAUCAACUUGAGCUUCAUCCUCAUUUUGAGUUGGUGGAGAUGCUUGCGUGGAGGAGGAUGGUUGAUCUUGUGCAUUUGGAGGUUCUUCGAAUUCCUUAGGACGCACAUCCCCAAUGGACAUGUUCCUUAGCGCGAUGCACGGAGCCUCUUCAAUACCUGUCUCAUCAAGAUCAACUUGCUCUACUUGAGAGCCGUUAGUUUCAUCAAACACAACGUCACAUGAGACUUCAACUAGUCCAGUGGACUUGUUAAAGACCCUAUAUGCCCUUGUGUUUGAGUCAUAACCAAGUAAAAAGCCUUCUACAGUCUUAGGAGCAAAUUUAGAUUUUCUACCUCUUUUAACAAGAAUAAAGCAUUUGCUACCAAAGACUCUAAAAUAUGAAAUGUUGGGCUUUUUACCGGUUAGGAGUUCAUAGGAUGUCUUCUUGAGGAUUCGGUGUAGAUAUAACCGGUUGAUGGCGUAGCAGGCGGUGUUGACCGCCUCGGCCCAAAACCGAUCCGAAGUCUUGUACUCAUCAAGCAUGGUUCUUGCCAUGUCUAAUAGAGUUCGAUUCUUCCUCUCUACUACACCAUUUUGUUGUGGCAUGUAGGGAGAAGAGAACUCAUGCUUGAUGCCCUCCUCCUCAAGGAAACCUUCAAUUUGUGAGUUCUUGAACUCCGUUCCAUUGUCGCUUCUAAUUUUCUUGAUCCUUAAGCCGAACUCAUUUUGAGCCCGUCUCAAGAAUCCCUUUAAGGUUUCUUGGGUUUGCGAUUUUUCCUGCAAAAAGAACACCCAAGUGAAGCGAGAAUAAUCAUCCACUAUUACAAGACAAUACUUACUCCCGCCGAUGCUAAUGUAAGCAAUCGGGCCGAAUAGAUCCAUGUGGAGUAGCUCAAGCGGCCUGUCGGUCGUCAUGAUGUUCUUGUGUGGAUGAUGGGCACCAACUUGCUUUCCUGCUUGGCAUGCGCUACAAACCCUGUCUUUCUCAAAAUGAACAUUUGUUAGUCCUAAAAUGUGUUCUCCCUUUAGAAGCUUGUGAAGAUUCUUCAUCCCAACAUGUGCUAGUCGGCGAUGCCAGAGCCAGCCCAUGUUAGUCUUAGCAAUUAAGCAUGUGUCGAGUUCAGCUCUAUCGAAAUCUACUAAGUAUAGCUGACCCUCUAACACACCCUUAAAUGCUAUUGAAUCAUCACUUCUUCUAAAGACAGUGACACCUAUAUCAGUGAAAAGACAGUUGUAGCCCAUUUUGCAUAAUUGAGAUACAGAAAGCAAAUUGUAAUCUAAAGAGUCUACAAGAAAAACAUUGGAAAUAGAAUGGUCAGGGGAUAUAGCAAUUUUACCCAAUCCUUUGACCAAACCUUGAUUUCCAUCUCCGAAUGUGAUAGCUCGUUGGGGAUCUUGGUUUUUCUCAUAGGAGGAGAACAUUUUCUUUUCCCCUGUCAUGUGGUUUGUGCACCCGCUGACGAUGAUCCAACUUGAGCCCCCGGAUGCAUAAACCUACAAAACAAGUUUAGUUCUUGAUUUUAGGUACCCAAAUGGUUUUGGGUCCUUUGGCAUUAGACACAAGAACUUUGGGUACCCAAACACAAGUCUUUGAUCCCUUGUGCUUGCCCCCAACAUAUUUGGCAACUACUUUGCCGGAUUUGUUAGUCAACACAUAAGAUGCAUCAAAAGUUUUAAAUGAAAGACUAUGUUCAUUUGAUGUAGUAGGAAUUUUCUUCUUAGGCAACUUAGCACGGGUUGGUUGCCUAGAGCUAGAUGUCUCACUCUUAUACAUAAAAGCAUGGUUAGAACCAGAGUGAGACUUCCUAGAAUGAAUUUUCCUAAUUUUGUCCUCGGGAUAACCGGCAGGGUAUAAAAUGUAACCCUCGUUAUCCUGAGGCAUGAGAGCCUUGCCCUUAACAAAGUUAGACAAUCUUUUAGGAGGGGCACUAAGUUUGACAUUGUCUCCCCUUUGGAAGCCAAUGCCAUCCUUGAUGCCAGGGCGUCUCCCAUUAUAGAGCAUACUUCUAGCAAAUUUAAAUUUUUCAUUCUCUAAGUUAUGCUCGACAAUUUUAGCAUCUAAUUUUGCUAUAUGAUCAUUUUGUUGUUUAAUUAAAGUCAUAUGAUCAUGAAUAGCAUUGAUAUCAACAUCUCUACAUCUAGUACAAAUAGUGACAUGCUCAAUGGUAGAUGUAGAUGGUUUGCAAGAAUUAAGUUCAACAAUCUUAGCAUGUAGAAUAUCAUUUUUAUCUCUAAGAUCGGAAAUUGUAACUUUGCAAACAUCAAAAUCUUUAGCCUUAGCAAUCAAAUUUUCAUUUUCUAAUCUAAGACUGGCAAGAGAAAUAUUCAAUUCUUCAAUCCUAGCAAGCAAAUCAUCAUUAUUAUCUCUAGGGUUGAGAAUUGAAACAUUGCAAACAUGAGAAUCAACCUUAGCUAACAAAUUAGCAUUUUCAUUUCUAAGGUUGUCUAUUGUUUCAUGGCAAGUGCUUAGCUCACUAGUUAAUUUUUGACAUUUCUCAAUUUCUAGAGCAUAAGCAUUUUUAACCUUAACAUGCUUCUUAUUUUCUUUAAUAAGGAAGUCCUCUUGAGUAUCCAAAAGGUCAUCCUUUUCAUGAAUAGCACUAAUCAAUUCAUUAAGUUUCUCCUUUUGUUGCAUGUUGAGGUUGGCAAAAAGGGUACGUAAAUUAUCCUCCUCAUCACUAGCAUUAUCAUCACUAGAAGUUUCAUAUUUAGUGGAGGAGUUAGAUUUAACCUUCUUCUUUUUGCCGUCCUUUGCCAUGAGGCACUUGUGGCCGACGUUGGGGAAGAGAAGCCCUUUGGUGACGGCGAUGUUGGCGGCGUCCUCGUCGUCGGAGGAGUCGCUUGAGCUUUCGUCGGAGUCCCACUCCCGACAAACAUGGGCAUCGCCGCCCUUCUUCUUAUAGUAUCUUUUCUUCUCCUUUCUUCUUCCCUUCUUGUCAUCACCCCUGUCACUGUCACUUGAUAAUGGACAUUUAGCUAUAAAGUGACCGGGCUUACCACACUUGUAGCAAACCUUCUUGGAGCGGGACUUGUAGUCUUUCCCCCUCCUUUGUUUGAGGAUUUGGCGGAAGCUUUUGAUGACGAGCGCCAUCUCCUCAUUGUCAAGCUUGGAGGCGUCGAUUGGUUGUCUACUUGGUGUAGACUCCUCCUUCCUUUCCUCCGUCGCCUUGAAUGCGACGGGUUGAGCUUCGGAUGUGGUGGGAUCAUCAAGCUCGUUGAUCUUCCUCGAGCCUUCGAUCAUGCACUCAAAACUUACAAAAUUCCCGAUAACUUCCUCGGGGGUCAUUUUAGUAUAUCUAGGAUUACCACGAAUUAAUUGAACUUGAGUGGGGUUAAGGAAAAUGAGGGAUCUUAGAAUAACCUUAACCACCUCGUGGUCAUCCCACUUUUUGCUCCCGAGGUUGCGCACUUGGUUCACCAAGGUCUUGAGCCGGUUGUACAUGUGUUGUGGCUCUUCCCCUUUGCGAAGCCGGAACCGACCGAGCUCCCCCUCGAUCGUUUCCCGCUUGGUGAUCUUUGUUAGCUCAUCUCCCUCGUGUGCGGUUUUGAGCACAUCCCAAACCUCCUUGUCGCUCUUCAACCCUUGAACUUUGUUAUACUCCUCUCUACUUAAAGAGGCGAGGAGUAUUGUUGUCGCUUGAGAGUUGAAGUGCUCGAUUUGGGCCACCUCAUCCUCAUCAUAGUCUUUAUCCCCUACCGACGGUACCUGUGCACCAAACUCAACAACAUCCCAUAUACUUUUGUGGAGUGAGGUUAGAUGAAAUCGCAUUAAAUCACUCCACCUAGCAUAAUCUUCACCAUCAAAAGUUGGUGGUUUGCCUAAUGGGACGGAAAGUAGAGGUGCAUGUUUAGAAAUGCGAGAAUAGUGUAGGGGGAUCUUACUAAACUUCUUACGCUCUUGGCGUUUAGAAGUUACGGAGGGCGCAUCGGAGCCGGAGGUCGAUGUUGAUGAAGUGUCGGUCUCGUAGUAGACCACUUUCCUCAUCCUCUUUGGCUUGUCCUCACUCCGAUGCGGCUUGUGGGAAGAAGAUUUUUCCUUCUUCUCUUUGUGGUGAGAAGAAGAUUUCUUCUCCUUCCCUUUGGAGGAGCUCUUCUUCUUCUCCCUCCUCUUGGUGCGGGACUCUUCCGAUGAAGUGCUCCCGUGGCUUGUAAUGGGUUUUUCGCUGGUCUCCAUCUCCUUCUUGGCGUGAUCUCCCGACAUCACUUCGAGCGGUUAGGCUCUAAUGAAGCACCGGGCUCUGAUACCAAUUGAUAGUCGCCUAGAGGGGGGGUGAAUAGGGCGAAACUGAAAUUUACAAAUAUAAACACAACUACAAGCCGGGUUAGCGUUAGUAAUAAAGAAACGAGUCCGCGAGAGAGGGCGCAAAACAAAUCGCAAGCAAAUAAAGAGUGUGACACGUGGAUUUGUUUUACCGAGGUUCGGUUCUCGCAAACCUACUCCCCGUUGAGGAGGCCACAAAGGCCGGGUCUCUUUCAACCCUUCCCUCUCUCAAACGAUCCCGAGGAUCGAGUGAGCUUUCUCUUCUCAAUCACUUGGAACACAAAGUUCCCACAAGGACCACCACAAGUUUGGUGUCUCUUGCCUCAAUUACAAGUGAGUUUGGUCGCAAUGAAAGAAUCAAGAAAGAAGAAAGCAAUCCAAGCGCAAGAGCUCGAAAGAACACAAGCAAAUCACUCUCUCUAGUCACUAUGGCGUUGUGUGGAAUUUGGAGAGGAUUUGAUCUCUUUGGUGUGUCUAGAAUUGAAUGCUAGAGUUCUUGUAGUAGUUGGGAAGUGGAAAACUUGGAUGCCAUGAAUGGUGGGGUGGUUGGGGUAUUUAUAGCCCCAACCACCAAAAGUGGUCGUUGGGAGGCUGUCUGUUCGAUGGCGCACCGGACAUGUCCGGUGCCCCCGCCACGUCAUCAAUGCCGUUGGAUUCUGACCGUUGGAGCUUCUGACUUGUGGACCCGCCAGGAUGUCCGGUGCACACCGGACAUGCACUGUUCCUUGUCCGGUGCGCCAGUAUGGGCGCGCCUGACUUCUGCACGCGCUGCGCGCGCAUUAAUUGCGUCGCAGGUAGCCGUUGGCGCCGAAUAGCCGUUGCUCUGGAGUUGCACCGGACAGUCCGGUGCACACCGGACAUGUCCGGUGAAUUAUAGCGGACUAGCCGUUGGAGAUUCUCGAAGCUGGCGAGUUCCUGAGGCCGCUCUUCCUUGGUGCACCGGACACUGUCCGGUGUACACCGGACAGUCCGGUGAAUUAUAGCGCGAGUGCCUCUGGAAAUUCCCGAAGGUGGCGAGUUUGAGUUGGAGUCCUCUGGUGCACCGGACAGGUCCGGUGGUGCACCGGACACUGUCCGGUGGCACACCGGACAGUCCGGUGCGCCAGACCAGAGGUGCCUUCGGUUGGCCCUUUGCUCUUUUGUUGAACCCAACUCUUGAUCUUUUUAUUGGCUAAGUGUGAACCUUUAGCACCUGUAUAACUUAUACACUAGAGCAAACUAGUUAGUCCAAUUGUUUGUGUUGGGCAAUUCAACCACCAAAAUUAUUUGAGAACUAGGUGUAAGCCUAAUUCCCUUUCAGCAGCGCCUUCCAGGAGGUUCUUGAGCUCCCCCUGGAUUCGCCGACCCUUGGUGGUGGAUGGCUCCGGCAUCGCGCGGAGAAGCAUCGCUGCUGCAGCCAGGUUCUGGCCGACCCCACUAGAUGCGGGUGGCGGCCUGACCCUGACGUCAUCGGCGACGCGGUGCUGGAAGCCCUGGGGCAGAUGACGUAUUUCUCCGGCCGGGGGUUGGCCCGCCCAUGCCUGCCCAACGUCCCGGCGGAUCGGCUCAAGCGCUCCUGUUCCCUCAUCGAGCCUGGCCUGCACCCCGCGGAUUUGCUCGAGCUGUGGGUCAUGGCCCCCCGCCUGAACGGGGACCACAGCUAGCUCCCGUGGGAUGUCAACGCGGGGCACCGGCCUAGGGAGAUCACCGUCCUCCGGCAUGCCGAGAUGAUUGCCUUCGGAGGGACCCCCUAGAUCGACGUGGAAACAUUCGCGGCUUGGGCCGCAGUCCUCGUCGUCGAGGCUGCGGCUACCGUCGGAACAGUCGGAGAGGAAGUAGUCACAUGCGGUCAUGAAGUCCUGCAUGGCACUAGGGUUGCCAAGUCCGGAGAAAUCCCAACAGAUGCUGGGCUCGUCGUCUUCCUCGGACCCAGAGGGCCCGUAGGUCGAGACGUCCGUCAGCCGGUCCCAAGGCGACCGCAUGCGAAACCCCAGAGGGUUUGAACUCGCCUCUACGAGAGCGCCCGCCAAAGCAAGGUCGCUAGGCGGGUUGAGGCUGAAUCCAAAUGACGUAGGAUGGGAAUCGGUCGGUACCUUUUGGUCGACGAGCGGCGAUGAAGUCACGUCGGGGACUGACUGCACCGUCGUCUCAGGUACGAGGGUGACGCCCAGCAAGCUCUCCGCGAGCGCGCUGGCGUCGUCCGCUUGCUCGGGAUUGGCGUGUUGCGGGGAGACGACGCUCGUCUUCGUCUCAGGCGCGAAGUCGAUACCCGGUGCGCCCCUCGUUGGGGUGCCGAUGCUGUCGGCUCGCUCGACAGCCAACGAGGCGCUGCCUCCUGCUUGGCCUUGGCUGCCCCGCCUUCCCCUCCGUCGGUGGGGAAGAAGGCGGGACGAGGUCGAGAGUUGUUCUUCCACCACGCGGGGAAGACGUCGUCGAUUUCGCCGCCGGCGGGCGGGCUGUCGGUCGCCAUUGUCGCUGUCGCACGGCGGUGGAAGGAGUAUCAUGUCGUAGCUGCCGUCGAAUGACAUGAACUCAAGACUCCCGAAACGGAGCACCGUCCUGGGUCGGAGAGGUUGCUGGAGACUGCCCAUCUGGAGCUUGACGGGAAGCUGUUCGUCAACACGCAACAGGCCCCUACCUGGCGCGCCAACUGUCGGCGUUUCGAGACCGGGGGGUCCCUUGGGCCGACGAGUGAGUGUCGCCGCGUGCCCCAGCCCAGAUGGGUCGAGCGCGAGGGCGAGCGCGAAGGGGGGAGAAGCGAGGCUGUCGGAGACCGGCGUGAGAGAGGUGGGAAUCCCGCGGCCUUCGUGUUCGUCCCGCGCCCAGGUCGGGUGCGCUUGCAGUAGGGGGUUACAAGCGUCCACGCGGGAAAGGGAAGCGAGCGCCUGUCUCGUCCUCGUCCCCGCGCGGCCAACCCUCUCUAAGAGGGCCCUGGUCCUUCCUUUUAUAGGCGUAAGGAGAGGAUCCAGGUGUACAAUGGGGGGUGUAGCAGAGUGCUACGUGUCUAGCGGGGGAGAGCUAGCGCCCUAAGUACAUGCCGAUGUGGCAGCCGGAGAGAUUUUGGCACCCAGCUGGUGUGAUGUCGUGGCCGUCGGAGGAGCGACGGAGCCUGGCGGAGGGACAGCUGUCGGAGCGGUUGGGUCCUUGCUGACGUCCUCUUGCUUCCGUAAGGGGGGUGAGAGCCGCCGUCAUCACAGAGUAUGCGGGGCGCCAUCAUUGCCUAUCUGGCGGAGCUAGCCAGAUGGGACACCGGUCUUGUACCCUGCGGCCCGAGUCAGCUCGGGGUAGGGUGAUGAUGACGCUUCCUGUUGACGUGGCUGGCCUACGCCCUAGGUUGGGCGAUGUGGAGGCUCCUCCGAAGCCGAGGUCGAGUCUGUCUUCCAUGGCCGAGGCCGAGUCCGAGCCCCUGGGUCGGGCGAGGCGGAGGUCGUCGGCAGAGGCCAGGGCGGAGUCCGAGCCCUGGGUCGGGCGGAGUGGAGUUCGCCGUCUUCCGGGACUUAGCCCGAGUCCGAGCCCUGGGUCGGGCGGAGCGGAGUUUGCCGUCUCCCGGGACUUAGCCCGAGUCCGAGCCCUGGGUCGGGCGGAGCGGAGUUCGCCGUCUUCCGGGACCUAGCCCGAGUCCGAGCCCUGGGUCGGGCGAAGCGGGGCUUCCUAUGGUGCCUUUGGCAGGGCCUGACUGCCUGUCAGUCUCACUCUGUCAAGUGGUACUGCAGUCGGAGUGGCGCAGACGGCGCUGUCCUUCUGUCAGGCCGGUCAGUGGAGCGGCGAAGUGACGGCGGUCACUUCGGCUCUGCCGGGGGGCGCGCGUCAGGAUAAAGGUGUCAGACCACCUUUGCGUUAAAUGCUCCUGCGACUUGGUCGGUAGGUGCGGCGAUUUAGUCAGGGUUGCUUCUUAGCGAAGGCAGGGCCUCGGGCGAGCCGGAAAUAUGUUCGCCGUUGGAGGGGGGCCUCGGGCGAGACGGAAAUCCUCCGGGGUCGGCUGCCCUUGUCCGAGGCUAGGCUCGGGCGAGGCGUGAUCGAGUCGCUCGAAUGGACUGAUCCCUGACUUAAUCGCACCCAUCAGGCCUUAGCAGCUUUAUGCUGAUGGGGGUUACCAUCUGAGAAUUAGGAGUCUUGAGGGUACCCCUAAUUAUGGUCCCCGACAGGUAUAUACUUACAUUUAGUAACUACUAAUAAAACUUAACCAACUUACUAAAAGCAAUGCUCAGCUUUAACCCUUAUUUGUUGAUCAGCCUUACACUUCACAUGAACUCUCACCUUUGGUGAGUUCAUGCACACUAUUCCCCACAACUUGUUGAGCUAUGAUCUUUUAUGAACUCACUCUUGUGAUAUAUAACCCCCCAUAGGUGAAGAGCAGGUGGUCCAAGAGGAGUCCUACAACGAGG